rnacentral:rRNA from 1 species
UUGCUCUUCAACGAGGAAUGCCUAGUAAGCGCAAGUCAUCAGCUUGCGUUGAUUACGUCCCUGCCCUUUGUACACACCGCCCGUCGCUACUACCGAUUGAAUGGCUCAGUGAGGCUUUGGGAUUGGCCAGGGGAGGUGGGCGACCACCACCCCAGGCCGAAAACUUAGUCAAACUUGGUCAUUUAGAGGAAGUAAAAGUCGUAACAAGGUUUCCGUAGGUGAACCUGCGGAAGGAUCAUUACCGAGUUAGGGUCUCUUUCUAGGGCCCGAACCUCCCAACCCUGUGUCUAUUGUUACCUUUAGUUGCUUCGGCGGGCCGGCCGUCUUGACCAACUGGUCUCGCUGGCCGCCGGUCGUGGGUUUCCACGAUUGGAGAGCUCGCCCGCCGAUGGCCCAACACAAAACUCUGGUACUAAACACUGUCGUCUAAAUACCUUGAUAUUAAUCAAAAACAAAACUUUCAACAACGGAUCUCUUGGUUCUGGCAUCGAUGAAGAACGCAGCGAAAUGCGAUAAGUAAUGCGAAUUGCAGAAUUUCCGUGAGUCAUCGAAUCUUUGAACGCACAUUGCGCCCACUGGUAUUCCGGUGGGCAUGCCUGUUCGAGCGUCAUUAUCCUCCCUCAAACCCUCGUGUUUGGUGUUGGGCCGAGUUGGUGUCACAGCCAACUGGUCUCAAAGACAAUGACGGCGUCCGUGGGACCCUCUUCGCAACGAGCAUCUUCGGAAGCACGCGUCGAGUCUAAAGGACCUUCCGGGCCGGUCUACCCUUUAUCUUUCUUAAGGUUGACCUCGGAUCAGGUAGGAAUACCCGCUGAACUUAAGCAUAUCAAUAAGCGGAGGA